AGCUUUGCGCAGUGGCAGUAUCGUAGCCAAUGAGGUUUAUCCGAGGCGCAAUUAUUGCCAAUUGAAAACUAGAUAUUUAUUGAGACAAGCCUCAUGAUGUUGUCUAGGCUGAUCUCCAUUCCUGGACUCAAAGGAUC